UUCUUUCUUCGGUAGGGUUUAUCAGUCCAACGACUGUGUGAACUCUCUCUCCAUCGUGUACGCUCGCUCAACUGGUCUGCAAAAUAUGCCACGUACGACGAUGGUUGAUUGCCGUUUCCGUCCUCCGCUUCGUGCCCUCACGUUCAAUGUUCUUGGUCUCGUCAAAGUGAUUGAAGCUCGGGGCAAGGAAGGAGAGAUUCCGUAAGUCGUGAGAGAUGGGGCGAACCUGAUUUCUCCAAAUCGGUGUUUGCAGCUUCUCUUAUCUAUCGUAAAUUCGACCCUGUAGGCUUCUCUCCAGAUCGUUCACUGUUAUCAUAAUCUCUUGUACAAAAUUUUGAUGUCAUUGGAAGUUCAAUAGUAUGUGUUACCUAUCUAGUCUUUACUUGCUGUUGCUCGGAAAAAUGGUCUGAUUGAAGUUCUUAAUCCUUUGAAUGGCAAUCUUAAUGUUGCAAUUUCGGAUAAUACCGAUGCUUCUCCUCCACCAAAAGAUGAAGCUAUUGUUAGAAUGCAUUUGUUUUUAAAAUAUGAAUUGGAGGUGGAAUCUAGGCGUUGCACCUUGCUUUCAUGUACAACAAAAGGAAAUGCAAGCAUGAGGUCGAUUGACACAGUGGGCAAAUGUGAGGGGAAAGGCAGUGAGGGGGAAGCUUCCUUUGUAUGACUAUGGCACAUUUUGGGUUCCCAAGCAACUUGAUCCAUAUAGUGAUAUUCACUUUACGUGGAAUUUUGGUUUUCCAAGGACCCUUAUCCAAAUGCUUGUCUAUGGGAGGGGCAAGGAUAAAUGAUUAACAAGAGAUUUAACAGAGAAGACUCCACUUGCUUCCAAUGACCAAAUUCUUUUAAACCAUCAUGGGUUCAAUCCAUGGUGGCCUCUUACCUAGGAUUUAAUCCUACAAGUUUCCUUGACAUUUGGUUAUCCCAUGAGAUUAGUCAUGGUGAUUGAAAGUUGGCCCAGACACUCACAGAUAUUUAAAA